rnacentral:rRNA from 1 species
GAUGAACGCUGGCGGCGUGCCUAAUACAUGCAAGUCGAGCGAACAGACGAGGAGCUUGCUCCUUCGACGUUAGCGGCGGACGGGUGAGUAACACGUAGGUAACCUACCUAUAAGACUGGGAUAACUUCGGGAAACCGGAGCUAAUACCGGAUAAUAUUUCGAACCGCAUGGUUCGAUAGUGAAAGAUGGCUUUGCUAUCACUUAUAGAUGGACCUGCGCCGUAUUAGCUAGUUGGUAAGGUAACGGCUUACCAAGGCAACGAAACGUAGCCGACCUGAGAGGGUGAUCGGCCACACUGGAACUGAGACACGGUCCAGACUCCUACGGGAGGCAGCAGUAGGGAAUCUUCCGCAAUGGGCGAAAGCCUGACGGAGCAACGCCGCGUGAGUGAUGAAGGUCUUCGGAUCGUAAAACUCUGUUAUUAGGGAAGAACAAACGUGUAAGUAACUGUGCACGUCUUGACGGUACCUAAUCAGAAAGCCACGGCUAACUACGUG